rnacentral:rRNA from 1 species
CCGCCCGUCACAUCACGAAAGUGGAUUGUACUAGAAGUCUGCGUGCUAACCGUAAGGAGGCAGCGGCCCAAGGUGUGAUUCAUGAUUGGGGUG